GGGUCGGUGGUCUAGAGGCUAUGACGCCAAAGUUAUAACGUGGAGGUCGCCAGUUCGAAUCUGGCCCGACCCA
rnacentral:tRNA from 1 species